rnacentral:rRNA from 1 species
AGUGAACGCUGGCGGUAGGCCUAACACAUGCAAGUCGAACGGCAGCACAGUAAGAGCUUGCUCUUACGGGUGGCGAGUGGCGGACGGGUGAGGAAUACAUCGGAAUCUACUUUUUCGUGGGGGAUAACGUAGGGAAACUUAUGCUAAUACCGCAUACGACCUACGGGUGAAAGCAGGGGAUCUUCGGACCUUGCGCGAUUGAAUGAGCCGAUGUCGGAUUAGCUAGUUGGCGGGGUAAAGGCCCACCAAGGCGACGAUCCGUAGCUGGUCUGAGAGGAUGAUCAGCCACACUGGAACUGAGACACGGUCCAGACUCCUACGGGAGGCAGCAGUGGGGAAUAUUGGACAAUGGGCGCAAGCCUGAUCCAGCCAUACCGCGUGGGUGAAGAGGGCCUUCGGGUUGUAAAACCCUUUUGUUGGGAAAGAAAAGCAGCAGGUUAAUACCCCGCUGUUCUGACGGUACCCAAAGAAUAAGCACCGGCUAACUUCGUG